UAUAAUGAAACGAAAAUAGCAAUAAACAGGGAUCAGGGCGUGUACCUCCCGAAUGCAUGGCUCAUAAAACAAUAGACAAUACCCUACCUUCGUCAUUGUUUCAUAAAAUCACUGUACCCAUGUAUACAUUUCAUGUAUACACUGUAAUUACUUUACAUUCUGUACAUGUAUAAAUAAGUAUCU